CAACCCUCAAGCGCUGUUUCGCUUGGAGUUGGGGCUCUUGCAGCUGGGCACUUUUAGUGCUUUGCAAGCCCUGAAAUCUAGCGGCGGGCUCGCCGGCACACCGAGCGCAGUAAUUUUACUUCUCGCUUAGGGCGUUGCGGCGCGGCACAGCCGACUUUUUGAAAACUUUCCAA
rnacentral:misc_RNA from 1 species